GCCCGAGGGUUCCUGAGCAACGAUCGUCGACUCAGGGUAAGUCGGGACCUAAGCCGAGGCGGAGACGCAUAGGCGAUGGACAACAGGUUGAAAUUCCUGUACCGGAUGGAGUCAUUUGAGCGAAGGAGCGACGCAGGAGGGCACAUGAUCGCGCGGCUGGAAGAGCGCGUCCAAGUGCGUAUGCGUAGAGGGAGGCAAAUCCCCCUUUACAGAAGCAGAGACAUGAUGGGGAGUUAAAGGAGACUUUGACGAACUCAUGGAUCCCACACUGCCAAGAAAAACUUCUAGCGAGACGAAAUCCGCCCGUACCGUAAACCGACACAGGUAGGCGGGGAGAGAAUCCUAAGGUGCGCGGGAAAACCCUCGUUAAGGAACUCGGCAAAUUGCAUCCGUAACUUCGGGAGAAGGAUGACCCUGAGUAGGCGAAAGGGAGAAACCCCCGGAACAGAAAAGGGUGGCAGAAAAGAGGCCCAAGCAACUGUUUACCAAAAACACAGGUGCCUGCGAAAGCGAAAGCUGAAGUAUAGGUGCUGACGCCUGCCCGGUGCUGGAAGGUUAAGGAGAGAGGUCAGCGAAAGCGAAGCUUUGAACUGAAGCCCCAGUGAACGGCGGCCGUAACUAUAACGGUCCUAAGGUAGCGAAAUUCCUUGUCAGGUAAGUUCUGACCCGCAUGAAAGGCGUAAUGAUUUGGGCACUGUCUCAACAGCCCGCCCGGCGAAAUUGUAGUACCGGUGAAGAUGCCGGUUACCCGCGACAAGACGGAAAGACCCCAUGGAGCUUUACUGUAGCCUAAUAUUGGGUUUCGAUGUUGCAUGCACAGGAUAGAUGGGACACAGGGAAACAAUCGCUUUGGCGGUUGCGGAGUGGCCGUUGGGAUACCAUCCUUGCGAUAUUGGAAUUCUAACCUGCGGCUCUGAAUCGAGUCGGGGGACAUUGUUAGGUGGGCAGUUUGACUGGGGCGGUCGCCUCCUAAAAAGUAACGGAGGCGUUCAAAGGUUCGCUCAGCUUGAACGGAAAUCAAGCAAAAGAGUGCAAACGCAGAAGCGAGCCUAACUGCGAGACUGACGGGUCGAGCAGUAACGAAAGUUGGAGUUAGUGAUCCGGUGGUAUGUGAGUGGAAAUGCCAUCGCUCAACGGAUAAAAGUUACCCUGGGGAUAACAGGCUGAUCUCCCCCAAGAGUCCACAUCGACGGGGAGGUUUGGCACCUCGAUGUCGGCUCAUCGCAUCCUGGGGCUGUAUUCGGUCCCAAGGG
rnacentral:rRNA from 1 species